rnacentral:rRNA from 1 species
AAACUUUCAACAAUGGAUCUCUUGGUUCCCGCAUCGAUGAAGAACGCAGCGAAAUGCGAUAACUAAUGUGAAUUGCAGAAUUCCGUGAAUCAUCGAGUCUUUGAACGCACAUUGCGCCCCCCGGCAUUCCGGGGGGCAUGCCUGUCCGAGCGUCAUU